UACAAAAAAAGCAAAUUCCAGCUACCAGUUUGACCCUUAGAGUGCUUAUGGAAAGUAAUCACUCUUUACAAUCUGUAUCCUUCUUCUUGGGUACGGUAGAAUGGUGCAGCAAAGCCAAGGAAAGGCCUUAUUAGCGCCACCUACUUGCAGCAGUAAGAUCACGACUCGUUCACAGUCUUUCACUCAAAUUGUAUUCUUGCGUUGGUGUUACAAAAGCGCCUAGUCUCUCGAGAGGUGAUUGGCUUCCCUUCUCAGCCAAUACCAAGGCAGUCUGCAGUAUUUCCUGGCCCGCCUACCUUCUUCCUCUGUCCUGCAGUUCCAUGGCGCUGGUCUGCGGGAAAAUGGACGGCUCCUACCUGAAGCAUCUGCAUCAUCAAAGCAGUGCUUCUGGAAUGCCCUCAUCUGGAGUUAAUCUUAUGGUUUUCCAUGCAUUUGGGUAAGUCUUUUGUGAAGGGGAGUUCUUGUGCCUCUGAUUUUGCACUGUGAAAGUAUGUGUUUAAUGCAUUUAAAUAUCACUCCAUUUUCCAAGGAGCUUAAGGUGACAUAUGCUGUUUCUCCCUGCCCCACUUUAUCCUCACAGCAACCCUAUGAGGUUAGGCUGAGGAGAGAGAGAGUGAGUGACCUUCAUGGCAGAGUGGAGUUUUGAACCCUUGCAACUUCUUGGUUUGGUAGGACGUAUGUAGUCCUAGGGAUCUUUUAUGCAAGUGUAUUCUGUAAAUAUUAUUUAUUAAAUUUGUAUAUUGCCCUUCAUUCGUAGAUCUCUGGGCAGUUCACAACAUAAAAAUACAAGCUAAAAACACAAAACGCAUACAUAAUAAGAACAAAGAAAAAUCAGCAACUAUCUUCAGAGGCAGCCCUGCAUAUAAAUAAGAAUGUCAAAUUGAACUUGCAUGUGGUACACAUUUAUUUACAGCAUUUGUAGCUCUGUACAAACGCCUGUGUACUUAACUGACAAAAGGCUGAGAGGCACAUAAAGAUGAUGUGGAUUACUUCCAUUUAAAAGUACAGAAUGGUAAAAUGGAGAAAUUGGUUCAAGGGUUUUUUUUGUAUUUUGAAUAGAAGUUCAGCGAUUAAAAAAUUGAAUGUGUUAGUCUCAUACCUAAAAGGGGGGGGGGGAGGAAUAAACCCAUUAGUUAUGGUGCUAGAAACCUCUAGCCUCAUUAGACUUGGCCUGAUUGUUAAUAGCACAUGUUUCUGCUGGAGAAGGGCAGUUAUUAAUUUGCCCAUGCUCUGCCUAACAACUUCCAGUUUUCUGCUUUUCAGUAUAGUCAUUGAAUUGUGUGCACAUAUUGCUAAGAAAAGGACAAUAUGAUGAUACAUUGCCCAUAUCUGCAACUUUUAGGCUGCCAAAGUUAUGUUCAGUUCAUAAUAGUGGUUUUCUUUCAUAGAGCAUGGGUUUGAGAAGCAUCAAAUAUUUCUUCUGAAAAAUUCUUGAAAGGGAACCGUUGCGGUCAGAGAUGGGCUGAACAAAUUCAGGAAAUUCCUAGGUUUUCUGGAAGUCAUGGAGUUUGGCCCAUUUGGUGAUAAUGAGAAAAAGAGAGCAUGCGUUUGGAGGAAAAUGAACACCAAAUACUUCUGAAGAGUUGCGCAGAGUGAGCAGCUGUAAUACAAAAUGAACUGAACAAACACUGAAAAUACUAGGAUUUCUGGAAGUUGGAAUUUGAUAUUGAGAAAAAGGACUGAUGAUUCUAAAGAGAUGAGACAGCAAUGGUCUACAUUCCCCAUCCUGAGCCUCUACAAAAUGUUUGUUGGACACAGGCAUUAAAGUGAGAACAGUAUUUACCUGUUUCAACAUGGGAAAAAGUGGUACAGAAGAUGGAUGAAUUUCCUGUAGCAUGUGAAAACAAGAUAGUGGCUCUUUACUGUCUCUUGAGUGUUAUAUGUGUGACCACCAACAAUAAAAAAUUUGUCCUAAUAUUUAAGUUGUAGUUCAUUAUCGUCCACAUUUACUAAGUGGAGUAUAUGUUGAAUACCUUUUGAAAUUGUGUACAAUUCAUAUUAAGAAAUAGUCAAGUUUCAGAUGUUCACAAAUUCGUUGCCAGAGUAUAGUUACAUCAAUAUGGUUAUGGAAAACAAAGUGUCACAUAUCUGAAGAUGGGUGAGCAAGUGUACAUGGAAAAUAGUUGCAUCCAGCACAUGUUGUAUCUCUGGUCUCCUCCCUAUCUGACUCUGAGAAAAAGCUGUUUUCCAAAACCAACAUUUGGAGGUAAAAGCUCCAUCUUGAUGCCAUAAACCUGCUUUGUUCACCCUCACCCAAAAUACAUAGUUGUGAACAGGGUACUUUCUUUUUUACAAAUUCACAAGUCAUUGCAACUUUGAAAACAAAGGAUCUUCCAGUGUGUGUUGCAUUUGGUCAGAUCCAUUGGAAUUAUUGGACCUUAAUCAGAUAUGUCCCUUAAUCUCAGUGGGUUUUCUCUUGAAUAUAACAAUGUAGCCAAUGACAAAGUUUUGCAUUUAAAUUGACAUUUUAAUUUUAAAGCCUUGUCAAAGCAUAUGACAUCUUGUACAGUUGUUACAUCUUGGCAGUAUUCAUAGUAACAAAGUAUAUUAGAGAUACAACAUAUCAAGUGGCUAGUUUAGAUGCAAACCCUAAGACAAGGCCAUGAGGAGACGACGCCUACACAGGUUUGUAGCAGGAUAGGAUCUGAAUUGGUCUAAAUGGAGACUGAUUUGAAUUUAAGUGUGCUGCUGGAAUAAUGUUCCUGACAAAACCAAGGAAACACUUUGGAAUUGCAACACACAGUACAAUAUUGGUUUAUGUAUAUCUAGUGUUGGGUUGGUGAAAAUGUAAACAUGGCUUGUGCGCAGUGAGCUGUAAUGGAGUGUUUUAUUUGGAUGGGAGCAGUGUCACCUGCAUAUCUAAAAUAAGCCUUUAUAAAAUUGAAAGGGCUCAUGAUUUGUCCAAAACUGCUGUGUCCUAAAAUAUUCCACUGUGAAGAGUUGUCACUAAGUUCAGCCAUUUGGUAGCCUACUGCAAUUAUCUACCAUGAGGCUUCAUGUAAACUGAGACAGACACAAGAAUCCAGAGUCUUCUGAAUAUUACCAGCCUCUGGCUAAGCUAUAGCAAAAGGGUGCAUAGCUUUGCCUGGAAUAAAAGGAGCAUCAACAUUGGGCUGUGUAUAUACAUGAUACCUUUACGGCCCAUAACACUUUUUUUGUGACUUGCAAAUGGUGGUUUUUAGUACAGUACUAGAGCUGGGAGGUGCAAAGAAAUGUUAUGAAUACAGAGUUCACUUUGAACAAGGCUGAUGGGACAGGAAACUUGAAACUUACUCGUUGGCUGUGGCUUCUA